ensembl:snRNA U1 U1 spliceosomal RNA
AUACUUACCUGGCAGGGGAAAAACCAUGAUCAUGAAGGUGGUUUUCCCAGAGCAAGGCUUACCCAUUGCACUCUGGCUGUGCUGACACCUGUGAUUUCCCCAAAUGUUGGGAAUUCGACUGUAUAAUUUGUGGGGGGACUGCAUUCGUGCUCUCCCCUG